AAAGUAAAAUUUCGUGGAGGUCCGAACCCACGAGCGUUGAAAAGCUCGGGGAUGACUUGUGGGUAGCGGUGAAAUUCCAAUCGAGCCCGGAGAUAGCUGGUUCUCCCCGAAAUAGCUUUAGGGCUAGCCUCAAGGUGAGAGAUACGGAGGUAGAGCACUGAAUGUCCUAGGGGGUAUUGCCCCUACCGAAGACUAUCAAACUCCGAAUGCCGUCAUCUUAUACUUGGGAGUCAGACUGUGGGUGAUAAGA
rnacentral:rRNA from 1 species